rnacentral:misc_RNA from 1 species
GAUGAAGAACGCAGCGAAAUGCGAUAAGUAAUGCGAAUUGCAGAAUUCAGUGAGUCAUCGAAUCUUUGAACGCACAUUGCGCCCUGUGGUAUUCCGCAGGGCAUGCCUGUUCGAGCGUCAUUUCAACCCUCAAGCUCUGCUUGGUGUUGGGCCCUGCCCGCUCGCGGCCGGCCCUAAAGACAGUGGCGGUGCCGUCUGGCUCUAAGCGUAGUACAUCUCUCGCUCAGGUGCCCGGCGGUGUCCUGCCAGAACCCCCCAACUCUGUGGUUGACCUCGGAUCAGGUAGGGAUACCCGCUGAACUUAAGCAUAUCAAUAAGCGGAGGA